AUUGAACGCUGGCGGCAUGCCUUACACAUGCAAGUCGAACGGUAACGCGGGGCAACCUGGCGACGAGUGGCGAACGGGUGAGUAAUGCAUCGGAACGUGCCCAGUAGUGGGGGAUAGCCCGGCGAAAGCCGGAUUAAUACCGCAUACGACCUAAGGGUGAAAGGGGGGGAUCGCAAGACCUCUCGCUAUUGGAGCGGCCGAUGUCAGAUUAGGUAGUUGGUGGGGUAAAGGCCUACCAAGCCGACGAUCUGUAGCUGGUCUGAGAGGACGACCAGCCACACUGGAACUGAGACACGGUCCAGACUCCUACGGGAGGCAGCAGUGGGGAAUUUUGGACAAUGGACGCAAGUCUGAUCCAGCCAUGCCGCGUGCGGGAAGAAGGCCUUCGGGUUGUAAACCGCUUUUGUCAGGGAAGAAAUCUUCUGGGCUAAUACCUCGGGAGGAUGACGGUACCUGAAGAAUAAGCACCGGCUAACUACGUGCCAGCCGCCGCGGUAA
rnacentral:rRNA from 1 species